GAUGAAGAACGCAGCGAAAUGCGAUAAGUAAUGUGAAUUGCAGAAUUCAGUGAAUCAUCGAAUCUUUGAACGCACCUUGCACCCUUUGGCAUUCCGAAGGGUAUGCUCGUUUGAGUGUCAUUGUACUCUCACUCUCCCGAUGCUUUUGGAUCGGGAGUGGUGGACUUGGGUGUUGCUGCUUUGCUGUGGCUCGCCUCAAAUGGAGUAGUGCAACUCUUGGUUGGACAUAGUACGGCGUGAUAAGUGUCUUCGCCGGCGCCUCAUUAUAGAGGGUGGCCGAUCGGGAGCUCUGUGCUUCAAACCGUCUUCGGACAACAUCUGACAACUUGACCUCAAAUCGAGUAGGACUACCCGCUGAACUUAAGCAUAUCAAUAGGCGGAGGA
rnacentral:misc_RNA from 1 species